rnacentral:lncRNA from 1 species
GUUUAGCCCCUCAUGCUGUUAGUUUGCGCUUGAGAAGUGCCAUAAAAUGGUUGAGCAGCUACAUUAUGGCCUAUCUUCAAGUCCCGUCCCUUGGGUUCCAAAAGAAACUGCUUCCUUCAGCUGAGUAUCCAUGGGGAAGAUGAGGUCCGUACACGACAUUUUCAGAAUGUGGAAGAUGAGGUCCGUACACGACAUUCUCAUUUAGAAAUGUCAUUUGGUUCACCUGUGGCGCUGCUUGAUAAGCAUUUGGAGCAUCGACUUGACUGGGGGUGUUAACAUGUGCAAAAACGUUUGCAUUGGUAUUCUUAUGAUUAGCCUUUGGCUUGCUC